AGAGUUUGAUCCUGGCUCAGAACGAACGCUGGCGGCAGGCCUAACACAUGCAAGUCGAGCGCACCUUCGGGUGAGCGGCGGACGGGCGAGUAACGCGUGGGAAUAUGCCCUUCUCUACGGAAUAGCCUCGGGAAACUGAGAGUAAUACCGUAUACGCCCUUCGGGGGAAAGAUUUAUCGGAGAAGGAUUAGCCCGCGUUAGAUUAGGUAGUUGGUGGGGUAAUGGCCUACCAAGCCUACGAUCUAUAGCUGGUUUGAGAGGAUGAUCAGCCACACUGGGACUGAGACACGGCCCAGACUCCUACGGGAGGCAGCAGUGGGGAAUCUUAGACAAUGGGGGAAACCCUGAUCUAGCCAUGCCGCGUGAGUGACGAAGGCCCUAGGGUCGUAAAGCUCUUUCAACUGUGAAGAUAAUGACGGUAGCAGUAGAAGAAACCCCGGCUAACUCCGUGCCAGCAGCCGCGGUAAUACGGAGGGGGUUAGCGUUGUUCGGAAUUACUGGGCGUAAAGCGCGCGUAGGCGGAUUAGUAAGUUAGAGGUGAAAUCCCGGGGCUCAACCCCGGAACUGCCUUUAAUACUGCUAGUCUUGAGUUCGAGAGAGGUGAGUGGAAUUCCGAGUGUAGAGGUGAAAUUCGUAGAUAUUCGGAGGAACACCAGUGGCGAAGGCGGCUCACUGGCUCGAUACUGACGCUGAGGUGCGAAAGUGUGGGGAGCAAACAGGAUUAGAUACCCUGGUAGUCCACACCGUAAACGAUGAAUGCCAGACGUCGGGUAGCAUGCUAUUCGGUGUCACACCUAACGGAUUAAGCAUUCCGCCUGGGGGAGUACGGUCGCAAGAUUAAAACUCAAAGGAAUUGACGGGGGGCCCGCACAAGCGGU
rnacentral:rRNA from 1 species